UCAUGAUUAUCUUUCAAUUAUUAUUCUUGAUAAGGCAGAUCUUAUUUUUACAUAUGGAUAUGAAAAGAAUCUCAAAGAUCUCAAAACUCACAUUCCUAAAAGAUGUCAAUGCCUUCUCAUGGCUGCUACCUCAAGCUUGAAGAAGCUUUAUCUACACAAUCCCUAUAUUCUUACUUUAGCAGAAGUUGGUGAUGGAAAGGACGAAAUUGUCCCCAAAAAUGU